UACGGGGGGGGCAAGCGUUGUUCGGAAUUACUGGGCGUAAAGGGCUCGUAGGCGGCCAACUAAGUCAGACGUGAAAUCCCUCGGCUUAACCGGGGAACUGCGUCUGAUACUGGAUGGCUUGAGGUUGGGAGAGGGAUGCGGAAUUCCAGGUGUAGCGGUGAAAUGCGUAGAGAUGUGGAGGAACACCGAUGGCGAAGGCAGCCUUCUGGGCCAACACUGACGCUCAUGCACGAAAGCGUGGGGAGCAAACAGG
rnacentral:rRNA from 1 species